GAACCGUACGAACGUUAUUCGGAAUCACUGGGCUUAAAGGGUGCGUAGGCGGUCCGGCAAGUUGGAUGUGAAAUCCCUCGGGCUCAACCGAGGAACUGCGUUCAAAACUGCCGGACUUGAGGGAGACAGAGGUGAGCGGAACUUAGGGUGGAGCGGUGAAAUGCGUUGAUAUCCUAAGGAACACCAGUUGCGAAGGCGGCUCACUGGGUCUCUUCUGACGCUCAGGCACGAAAGCCAGGGGAGCGAACGGGAUUAGAUACCCCGGUAGUCCUGGCUGUAAACGAUGAGCACUGGGUUGGAGGCUCCUCCAUAGGCUUCCAGUCGUAGCGAAAGUGUUAAGUGCUCCGCCUGGGGAGUAUGGUCGCAAAGGCUG
rnacentral:rRNA from 1 species